rnacentral:rRNA from 1 species
GGCAGCAGCUAGGAAUCUUGCGCAAUGGGCGAAAGCCUGACGCAGCGACGCCGCGUGCGGGAUGAAGGCCGAGAGGUUGUAAACCGCUAAAAUUCAACAUAUGUUGGGACAUAAGUGCCGGCUAACUCCGUGCCAGCAGCAGCGGUAAGACGGAGGGCACAAGCAUUACCCGGAAUUACUGGGCGUACAGGGCCCGUAGGCGGUUUGUUAAGUUUUCGGUCAAAGCCUCUCGCUUAACGAGAGAAAGGCCGGGAAUACUGGCAGACUAGAGUGAAUUCGGAGCUACUGGAACUUGCUAUGUAGGGGUGAAAUCCAUGGAUAUGGCAAGGAACACCAAGGGCGAAGGCGGGUAGCCAGAAUUAUACUGACGCUAAAGGACUAAAGCUAGGGUAGCAAACCGGAUUAGAGACCCGGGUAGUCCUAGCCCUAAACGAUGCUCGCUAGUUGGUUUCGAUAUUUUGUUGGGACUGACGUAGCUAACGCGUUAAGCGAGCCGCCUGGGGAGUAUGAUCGCAAGAUUGAAACUCAAAUGAAUUGACGG